rnacentral:tRNA from 1 species
GGGGUUGUGGCUCCGUGGUAGAGCACUUGCCUUGCAUACAUGUGGCAGUGGUUUGAUUCUCAGCACCA